rnacentral:rRNA from 1 species
GACGAACGCUGGCGGCGUGGAUUAGGCAUGCAAGUCGAACGGUAUCAUCCUUUCGGGGGUGAGAGAGUGGCGAACUGGUGAGUAACACGUAGGUUAUCUACCCUCAAGACGGGGACAACCCAGGGAAACUUGGGCUAAUACCGGAUGUGAGCAACUUUUAGUUGUUUGAAAGGUGGCGUAAGCUGUCGCUUGGGGAUGAGCCUGCGUCCUAUUAGUUAGUUGGUGAGGUAACGGCUCACCUAGGCAAUGAUAGGUAGGCGGCCUUAACGGGUGGUCGCCCACACUGGGAUUGAGAUACGGCCCAGACUCCUACGGGAGGCAGCAGUCGAGAAUAGUCUACAAUGGUCGGAAGACUGAUAGUGCGACGCCGCGUGAACGAUGAAUCCCUUCGGGGUGUAAAGUUCUUUUAUAUGUGAGCAGUGCUUCUUAUAUUAACAGUAUGGGGAGAGAGAUAUUAGCAUAUGAAUAAGCAACGGCUAACUCCGUAGCCAGCAGCCGCGGU